rnacentral:sRNA from 1 species
UGUGUAUUUUUCUUUGAACUCUGGGUUGC